rnacentral:rRNA from 1 species
AGGUAGCGAAAUUCCUUGUCGGGUAAGUUCCGACCCGCACGAAUGGUGUAACGAUUUGGGUACUGUCUCAACAAGGGACCCGGCGAAAUUGUAGUAUGUGUGAAGAUGCACAUUACCCGCGAUAGGACGGAAAGACCCCGUAGAGCUUUACUGUAGUUUAACAUUGGAUUCCGGUAACAUAUGCACAGGAUAGGUGGGAGGCGGAGAAGCAGUGAUUUCGGUUGCUGCAGAGCCGACGUUGGGAUACCACUCUUGUGUUACUGGGGUUCUAACCUGUGGCCGUGAUCCGGCACAGGAACAGUGUUAGAUGGGCAGUUUGACUGGGGCGGUCGCCUCCAAAAGAGUAACGGAGGCGUCCAAAGGUUCCCUCAGAAUGGUUGGAAACCAUUCGAAGAGUGCAAAGGCAGAAGGGAGCCUGACUGCGAGACCGACAGGUCGAGCAGGGACGAAAGUCGGGCUUAGUGAUCCGGCGGUAUAGAGUGGAAUUGCCGUCGCUCAACGGAUAAAAGCUACCUCGGGGAUAACAGGCUUAUCUCCCCCAAGAGUCCACAUCGACGGGGAGGUUUGGCACCUCGAUGUCGGCUCGUCGCAUCCUGGGGCUGGAUUAGGUCCCAAGGGUUUGGCUGUUCGCCAAUUAAAGCGGCACGCGAGCUGGGUUCAGAACGUCGUGAGACAGUUCGGUCCCUAUCCAUCGUGGGCGCAGGAGAUUUGAGAAGAGCUGUCCUCAGUACGAGAGGACCGGGAUGGACGCACCAAGGGUGUAUCAGUUGUCACGCCAGUGGCACAGCUGGGUAGCCAAGUGCGGAUCGGAUAAACGCUGAAGGCAUCUAAGCGUGAAGCCGACUUCAAGAUAAGAUCUCCCAUCCGCAAGGAGUAAGGCCCCAUGUAGACCACAUGGUUGAUAGGUCGCAGGUGGAAGUGCAGUAAUGUACGCAGCUGAGCGAUACUAAUAGGCCGAGGGCUUGAUCAA